GGCUCAGAUUGAACGCUGGCGGCAUGCCUUACACAUGCAAGUCGAACGGCAGCACGGGAGCAAUACCUGGUGGCGAGUGGCGAACGGGUGAGUAAUAUAUCGGAACGUGCCCAGUCGUGGGGGAUAACGUAGCGAAAGCUACGCUAAUACCGCAUACGAUCUAUGGAUGAAAGCGGGGGAUCGCAAGACCUCGCGCGAUUGGAGCGGCCGAUAUCAGAUUAGGUAGUUGGUGGGGUAAAAGCCUACCAAGCCUUCGAUCUGUAGCUGGUCUGAGAGGACGACCAGCCACACUGGAACUGAGACACGGUCCAGACUCCUACGGGAGGCAGCAGUGGGGAAUUUUGGACAAUGGGCGCAAGCCUGAUCCAGCAAUGCCGCGUGCAGGAUGAAGGCCUUCGGGUUGUAAACUGCUUUUGUACGGAACGAAACGGCUCUUUCUAAUAAAGGGAGCUAAUGACGGUACCGUAAGAAUAAGCACCGGCUAACUACGUG
rnacentral:rRNA from 1 species